UACAAAGCCUACUCGUCUGGGACCUUCAAGGUUGCAGAGGGGGAAAAAAGAACUGUGACUGUAACAUCUGAGCGGGCAGAGAACACCAGUGUCACCCUGGAGAGCUUCCCUGUUAGGAUUUGUGCCCCCAUCUCACUGUGGGCAUCCUGGCAAUAAUCCAAGCUGGUCGGGCUCUCCUAGGAUGCCUGUGUCCACAUCUAAGUCCCCAUGCCACCGGACAGCGAGGCAGUCUGGACCCACAGCCCAGGACCCUUCAGGUUCCCUGAAUCCCAUUCGGAACGCAUGUCUACGCAGGAAAGAUGAAAACACAGAGGGGGAGAGCAGGCUCCUGCAGCCCCCGACCCUGGCCGCGAGGAGUAACGAGAAGCAGCCCUUGCCCGGUUUCCAAUGUGACAUUUCUAGCAUCUGCCUCUCCACCGUGCAGCCCACACCUCUCUUUCUGCCCAACACACAGGCACACCGAGGAUUUGAAAAGCUCACAUUUUGCCCUGGUUACAACUCCCCCUCUCCUCAUUAAAAAAAAGAAAAAAAAGAAAAGAAAAAGAAAAAGAAAAAGAAAAAAAAAAAAAAAUAAAAAAAAAAAAACCCGCUUUAUUGUGCGCAACAUCUGGAAAGCUCCCUUCUCCAUCUGCUAGGCCCUGACAGUGUUUUCAGCCGCAGAGCCAACCUCUCCCCCUGCAGCCUGUGUCCUGGAGCUGGGGGUUGGGGGGAGGCCAGGCGGUGGAGGAGGCCCUGGCAGGGAGGAGGUGGGUCAGGGGAGCAGGCCUGCCCUUGGCCUGCGAGGUGCAGGGGCUCUCGGAACCCAGAGCUGGCCCCCGGGCCUGGGUUCUGGGGCCUGGGCUUCGUGGUGCUCCGGGUUCAAGGGAGGCAGCUGGUGGCUCCUCCAGCCUGUAGGGACAGGAAGCCAUGGCUGCAGGUUCUCGUGUUCCUGGGAAUGCUUGGUCAGGCCCUCCCGCCAGAGCUGGGAAGGACAGUCAGCUUCUAGACCCCAGUGCAUAUGCUUCUGAUGAGGUUUGAAACGAGCCUGUCUUGGGUUUGGUUUCAAAAUACCCCUGCCUUGGGUUUUUUUUGUUUGUUUGUUUCUUCUAUCUUAUUUAUACACACGCUUCAGCUAGCAUUCUGGGGGGAAAAAAGCAGAGGUUUCGAAAAGUAAAGUGGUUUAUGUGCAAAGAUCAAAAUGUUUCUCAUACUUUCUCCCAAGGCCUGGGGCUCUCCUCUCCCAGCG
rnacentral:lncRNA from 1 species